rnacentral:lncRNA from 1 species
AUGAUGAUGAUAAUGAUGAUGAUGAUCAUAUGGAUGUGCGGUAAUGCAACUAAAAUGUUCUGUAUUGCAACGCGCUUGUUCGGUAAAGCAUCUCUUGUUCAUUAUUGCAACUUUUUUGUUCGCUAUUGCAACUCCGUGUUCGGUUUUGUAACUUGAAUAAUUUUGUUUUUUUUAUUAAGUUGUUACGUCGUAAGCCGGCUCAAAAUAAUUUUCGUUCAAAGUUAAUUGGGCAGACAAAAAUUUGUUUGAUGUUUUUAAGCUUCUGGAUCAUACUUUUAAAAUACCUCACUCUAUUGAUGUCAACAUCUGAAGCCUUACAACAGCAUACCUUUCAAUAAUAUCUAACUCAAUAUUACAUCAUGUGUAAAAAUGUGCAUUUGAAUACAAUUAAAAUGUGUCAUUUCUCAGAAAAAUUUAAAAGUGCUUAUUUAAAUUUUUCU